AACGCGAAGAACCUUACCAGGGUUUGACAUCCUGCGAAUCUCUUGGAAACAGGAGAGUGCCUUCGGGAACGCAGUGACAGGUGGUGCAUGGCUGUCGUCAGCUCGUGUCGUGAGAUGUUGGGUUAAGUCCCGCAACGAGCGCAACCCACGUCUUUAGUUGCCAGCAUUUAGUUGGGCACUCUAGAGAGACUGCCGGUGAUAAACCGGAGGAAGGUGUGGAUGACAUCAAGUCAUCAUGCCCCUUACAUCCUGGGCUACACACGUACUACAAUGCUGCGGACAAAGGGCUGCAAGUUCGCGAGGACAAGCAAAUCCCAUAAACCGUGGCUCAGUUCAGAUCGUAGGCUGCAACUCGCCUACGUGAAGGCGGAAUCGCUAGUAAUCGCAGGUCAGCAUACUGCGGUGAAUACGUUCCCGGGUCUUGUACACACCG
rnacentral:rRNA from 1 species